rnacentral:tRNA from 1 species
AAAAUCCGUCGACUUUAAAAAUCGUGAGGGUUCAAGUCCCUCUUUU